rnacentral:rRNA from 1 species
UGAGUAACACGUGAAUAACCUACCCUUGACUCUGGGAUAAGCCCGGGAAACUGGGUCUAAUACCGGAUAGGAACGUCCACCGCAUGGUGGUUGUUGGAAAGAUUUAUCGGUCAUGGAUGGACUCGCGGCCUAUCAGCUUGUUGGUGAGGUAAUGGCUCACCAAGGCGACGACGGGUAGCCGGCCUGAGAGGGUGACCGGCCACACUGGGACUGAGACACGGCCCAGACUCCUACGGGAGGCAGCAGUGGGGAAUAUUGCACAAUGGGCGAAAGCCUGAUGCAGCGACGCCGCGUGAGGGAUGACGGCCUUCGGGUUGUAAACCUCUUUCAGUAGGGAAGAAGCGAAAGUGACGGUACCUGCAGAAGAAGCACCGGCUAACUACGUGCCAGCAGCCGCGGUAAUACGUAGGGUGCGAGCGUUAUCCGGAAUUAUUGGGCGUAAAGAGCUCGUAGGCGGUUUGUCGCGUCUGUCGUGAAAGUCCGGGGCUUAACCCCGGAUCUGCGGUGGGUACGGGCAGACUAGAGUGCAGUAGGGGAGACUGGAAUUCCUGGUGUAGCGGUGGAAUGCGCAGAUAUCAGGAGGAACACCGAUGGCGAAGGCAGGUCUCUGGGCUGUAACUGACGCUGAGGAGCGAAAGCAUGGGGAGCGAACAGGAUUAGAUACCCUGGUAGUCCAUGCCGUAAACGUUGGGCACUAGGUGUGGGGACCAUUCCACGGUUUCCGCGCCGCAGCUAACGCAUUAAGUGCCCCGCCUGGGGAGUACGGCCGCAAGGCUAAAACUCAAAGGAAUUGACGGGGGCCCGCACAAGCGGCGGAGCAUGCGGAUUAAUUCGAUGCAACGCGAAGAACCUUACCAAGGCUUGACAUGUUCUCGAUCGCCGUAGAGAUACGGUUUCCCCUUUGGGGCGGGAUCACAGGUGGUGCAUGGUUGUCGUCAGCUCGUGUCGUGAGAUGUUGGGUUAAGUCCCGCAACGAGCGCAACCCUCGUUCCAUGUUGCCAGCACGUAGUGGUGGGGACUCAUGGAGACUGCCGGGGUCAACUCGGAGGAAGGUGGGGACGACGUCAAAUCAUCAUGCCCCUUAUGUCUUGGGCUUCACGCAUGCUACAAUGGCCGGUACAAUGGGUUGCGAUACUGUGAGGUGGAGCUAAUCCCAAAAAGCCGGUCUCAGUUCGGAUUGGGGUCUGCAACUCGACCCCAUGAAGUCGGAGUCGCUAGUAAUCGCAGAUCAGCAACGGUGCGGUGAAUACGUUC